UGCAGUCGAGCGAACAGAUAAGGAGCUUGCUCCUUUGACGUUAGCGGCGGACGGGUGAGUAACACGUGGGUAACCUACCUAUAAGACUGGGAUAACUUCGGGAAACCGGAGCUAAUACCGGAUAACAUUUGGAACCGCAUGGUUCUAAAGUGAAAGAUGGUUUUGCUAUCACUUAUAGAUGGACCCGCGCCGUAUUAGCUAGUUGGUAAGGUAACGGCUUACCAAGGCGACGAUACGUAGCCGACCUGAGAGGGUGAUCGGCCACACUGGAACUGAGACACGGUCCAGACUCCUACGGGAGGCAGCAGUAGGGAAUCUUCCGCAAUGGGCGAAAGCCUGACGGAGCAACGCCGCGUGAGUGAUGAAGGGUUUCGGCUCGUAAAACUCUGUUAUUAGGGAAGAACAAAUGUGUAAGUAACUGUGCACGUCUUGACGGUACCUAAUCAGAAAGCCACGGCUAACUACGUGCCAGCAGCCGCGGUAAUACGUAGGUGGCAAGCGUUAUCCGGAAUUAUUGGGCGUAAAGCGCGCGUAGGCGGUUUCUUAAGUCUGAUGUGAAAGCCCACGGCUCAACCGUGGAGGGUCAUUGGAAACUGGGAAACUUGAGUGCAGAAGAGGAAAGUGGAAUUCCAUGUGUAGCGGUGAAAUGCGCAGAGAUAUGGAGGAACACCAGUGGCGAAGGCGACUUUCUGGUCUGUAACUGACGCUGAUGUGCGAAAGCGUGGGGAUCAAACAGGAUUAGAUACCCUGGUAGUCCACGCCGUAAACGAUGAGUGCUAAGUGUUAGGGGGUUUCCGCCCCUUAGUGCUGCAGCUAACGCAUUAAGCACUCCGCCUGGGGAGUACGACCGCAAGGUUGAAACUCAAAGGAAUUGACGGGGACCCGCACAAGCGGUGGAGCAUGUGGUUUAAUUCGAAGCAACGCGAAGAACCUUACCAAAUCUUGACAUCCUUUGAAAACUCUAGAGAUAGAGCCUUCCCCUUCGGGGGACAAAGUGACAGGUGGUGCAUGGUUGUCGUCAGCUCGUGUCGUGAGAUGUUGGGUUAAGUCCCGCAACGAGCGCAACCCUUAAGCUUAGUUGCCAUCAUUAAGUUGGGCACUCUAGGUUGACUGCCGGUGACAAACCGGAGGAAGGUGGGGAUGACGUCAAAUCAUCAUGCCCCUUAUGAUUUGGGCUACACACGUGCUACAAUGGACAAUACAAAGGGCAGCUAAACCGCGAGGUCAUGCAAAUCCCAUAAAGUUGUUCUCAGUUCGGAUUGUAGUCUGCAACUCGACUACAUGAAGCUGGAAUCGCUAGUAAUCGUAGAUCAGCAUGCUACGGUGAAUACGUUCCCGGGUCUUGUACACACCGCCCGUCACACCACGAGAGUUUGUAACACCCGAAGCCGGUGGAGUAACCAUUUAUGGAGCUAGCCGUCGAAGGUGGGACAAAUGA
rnacentral:rRNA from 1 species